rnacentral:rRNA from 1 species
AUUGAACGCUGGCGGCAUGCUUUACACAUGCAAGUCGAACGGCAGCGGGGGCUUCGGCCCGCCGGCGAGUGGCGAACGGGUGAGUAAUGCAUCGGAACGUGCCCAGUCGUGGGGGAUAACACAUCGAAAGAUGUGCUAAUACCGCAUACGUCCUGAGGGAGAAAGCGGGGGAUCUUCGGACCUCGCGCGAUUGGAGCGGCCGAUGUCGGAUUAGCUAGUUGGUGGGGUAAAAGCCCACCAAGGCGACGAUCCGUAGCGGGUCUGAGAGGAUGAUCCGCCACACUGGGACUGAGACACGGCCCAGACUCCUACGGGAGGCAGCAGUAGGGAAUUUUCGGCAAUGGGGGAAACCCUGACCGAGCAAUGCCGCGUGAACGAUGAAGGUCUUCGGAUUGUAAAGUUCUGUGAUUGGGGAAGAAUGGUAUUCUUAGGGAAUGAGGAGUACAUGACGGUACCCGAUUAGAAAGCCCCGGCUAACUAUGUGCCAGCAGCCGCGGUAAUUACGC